CACGUAGGGGGCAAGCGUUGUCCGGAUUUAUUGGGCGUAAAGAGCGUGUAGGCGGCUCGGUAAGUCUGCUGUGAAAGUCCAGGGCUCAACCCUGGGAUGCCGGUGGAUACUGUCGAGCUCGAGUCCGGAAGAGGCGAGUGGAAUUCCUGGUGUAGCGGUGAAAUGCGCAGAUAUCAGGAGGAACACCGGUGGCGAAGGCGGUGGUCUGGGCCGGCACUGACGCUGAGAAGCGAAAGCGUGGGGAGCGAACAGGAUUAG
rnacentral:rRNA from 1 species